UACCUUUGUUGAGUAGGGGGUGCGGUGGGUCACAAUUAAAUGGGAGUCCGAAACUGGGCUUAUUCUUAGUUGAUGCUGUUAUCGAAAACGACCAUUCCACAAAUCAGUAGAGAGCGAAAAGAAUGCGUCAGCUUUUCAAGGUGAGACUGGCAAUGUGACAGCUACUGCCUGCCCUUGGGGAGUGGGCACUAUCCAGGGAAAGGGAAAAAGCCUGGAAGCAUGAAGAAACUACAUAAAAUACAGUCUAUGGAUCAAAGGCUUCAGUUCCAGUGCUAUGCAGAUACCGCCCUCAAAUCGGGGGAUGGUAACAUCUGUCUCAAGAUCGAAUACAGUCACGAUAAACCGUAUGCACUUGUUCGGAAAACACGUGACAAUUCAACGCUGGAGCCCUUGCCAGCUCAAGAAGAAGCCUGGAAAAGACAUC